rnacentral:rRNA from 1 species
CUUGGUCAUUUAGAGGAAGUAAAAGUCGUAACAAGGUCUCCGUAGGUGAACCUGCGGAGGGAUCAUUACCGAAAGGCGCCUCUGGGCGCCGUGUCGGCUCAAACCGGUGGAAGCGACCCGUGCUUCGGCGCUCCGGCGCCGCCUCGACGCGUGAAUGGGUCUUGAAGUCUGAAUUACAUUUGAAUCAAAACUUUCAACAAAGGAUCUCUUGGCUCUCGCAUCGAUGAAGAACGUAGUGAAGCGCGAAAUGUAGUGUGAAUCGCAGGACAUUGUGAAUCAUCGAAUCUUUGAACGCACAUUGCGCCUCCCUCAGAGGGGAGGCAUGCCUGUCUGAGCGUCAUUCGAACCCAUGGGUCUCCCUCCUUGGGGGCCCGUGUUGGGCGUCGCGCGUCGCGCGUCGCCUCGAACGGAUCGGUCGAGAGGGCGGACGAGAUCCAGUAGGACCCGAGCCGUCCCGAGACCCUAAAAGUCUGAAUUGACCUCAGAUCAGGUAGGGACACCGCCUGAACUUAAGCAUAUCAAUAAGCGGAGGA